UGGCCAGGUGGACAUGAUAGAUUUAUGCUGU
rnacentral:piRNA from 1 species